AGUGAACGCUGGCGGUAGGCCUAACACAUGCAAGUCGAACGGCAGCACAGUAAGAGCUUGCUCUUACGGGUGGCGAGUGGCGGACGGGUGAGGAAUACAUCGGAAUCUACUUUUUCGUGGGGGAUAACGUAGGGAAACUUACGCUAAUACCGCAUACGACCUACGGGUGAUAGCAGGGGAUCUUCGGACCUUGCGCGAUUGAAUGAGCCGAUGUCGGAUUAGCUAGUUGGCGGGGUAAAGGCCCACCAAGGCGACGAUCCGUAGCUGAUCUGAGAGGAUGAUCAGCCACACUGGAACUGAGACACGGUCCAGACUCCUACGGGAGGCAGCAGUGGGGAAUAUUGGACAAUGGGCGCAAGCCUGAUCCAGCCAUACCGCGUGGGUGAAGAAGGCCUUCGGGUUGUAAAGCCCUUUUGUUGGGAAAGAAAAGCAGCAGGUUAAUACCCCGCUGUUCUGACGGUACCCAAAGAAUAAGCACCGGCUAACUUCGUG
rnacentral:rRNA from 1 species